rnacentral:rRNA from 1 species
CCUACGGGAGGCAGCAGUGGGGAAUAUUGGACAAUGGGGGCAACCCUGAUCCAGCCAUGCCGCGUGAGUGAUGAAGGCCUUCGGGUUGUAAAGCUCUUUUGGCGGGGACGAUGAUGACGGUACCCGCAGAAUAAGCCCCGGCUAACUUCGUGCCAGCAGCCGCGGUAAGACGAAGGGGGCUAGCGUUGUUCGGAAUUACUGGGCGUAAAGCGAGUGUAGGCGGUUAUCCAAGUUGGAUGUGAAAGCCUUGAGCUCAACUCAAGAAAUGCAUUCAGGACUGGGUGACUAGAGUACCGGAGAGGAUAGUGGAAUUCCCAGUGUAGUGGUGAAAUACGUAGAGAUUGGGAAGAACACCAGUGGCGAAGGCGGCUAUCUGGACGGUUACUGACGCUAAGACUCGAAAGCGUGGGGAGCAAACAGGAUUAGAUACCCCAGUAGUC